AUACGUAGGGGGCGAGCGUUGUCCGGAAUGAUUGGGCGUAAAGGGCGCGUAGGCGGCCCGGUAAGUCUGGAGUGAAAGUCCUGUUUUUAAGAUGGGAAUUGCUUUGGAUACUGUCGGGCUUGAGUGCAGGAGAGGUAAGUGGAAUUCCCAGUGUAGCGGUGAAAUGCGUAGAUAUUAGGAGGAACACCAGUGGCGAAGGCGGCCUGCUGGACGACAACUGACGCUGAGGCGCGAAAGCGUGGGGAGCAAACAGGAUUAGAUACCCUGGUAGUCCGCACAGUAAACGAUGGACACCCGCGGUUUGGCCUGUAUGGCUGAGCCGCCAAGCGAAAGCGUUAAGUGUCCCACCUGGGGAGUACGCCGGCAACGGUGAAACUCAAAGGAAUUGGCGGG
rnacentral:rRNA from 1 species